rnacentral:rRNA from 1 species
GCAGUCGAACGAAAGUUUUUAACUUUAGUGGCGAACGGGUGAGUAAUACGUGAGAAUCUGCCCUUUGGAGAAGAAUAACUGCUGGAAACGGCUGCUAAUACUUCAUAAACCGAGAGGUAAAAAAGUCUAGGCUGCCUAAGGAUGAGCUCGCGCCUGAUUAGCUUGUUGGUAAGGUAAAGGCUUACCAAGGCCACGAUCAGUAGCUGGUUUGAGAGAACGAUCAGCCACACUGGGACUGAGACACGGCCCAGACUCCUCCGGGAGGCAGCAGUGAGGAAUUUUCCGCAAUGGGCGAAAGCUUGACGGAGCAAUACCGCGUGAGGGAUGAAGGAUUUUGGUCUGUAAACCUCUUUUCUCAAGAAAGAAGUUCUGACGGUACUUGAGGAAUAAGCAUCGGCUAACUCCGUGCCAGCAGCCGCGGUAAUACGGGGGAUGCAAGCGUUAUCCGGAAUCAUUGGGCGUAAAGCGCCUGUAGGUUGUUUAAUAAGUCUGUUGUUAAAGACUAGGGCUCAACCCUAGAAAAGCAAUGGAAACUAAUAGACUAGAGUAUGGCAGGGGUAGAGGGAAUUUCUAGUGUAGCGGUGAAAUGCGUAGAUAUUAGAAAGAACACCAGUGGUGAAAGCGCUCUACUGGACCAUUACUGACACUCAGAGGCGAAAGCUAGGGUAGCAAAAGGGAUUAGAUACCCCUGUAGUCCUAGCCGUAAACGAUGGAUACUAGAUGUUGUGUUAUAUCACAGUAUCGCAGCUAACGCGUUAAGUAUCCCGCCUGGGGAGUACGCUCGCAAGGGUGAAACUCAAAGGAAUUGACGGGGGCCCGCACAAGCGGUGGAGCAUGUGGUUUAAUUCGAUGCAACGCGAAGAACCUUACCAGGGCUUGACAUACUACAGAUCUUUUUGAGAAAGAAGAGUGCCUUCGGGAAUGUAGAUACAGGUGGUGCAUGGCUGUCGUCAGCUCGUGUCGUGAGAUGUUGGGUUAAGUCCCGCAACGAGCGCAACCCUUAUUUUUAGUUACCAACUUGUUGGGUUCUCUAGAAAGACUGCCGGUGACAAACCGGAGGAAGGUGAGGAUGACGUCAAGUCAGCAUGCCCCU